rnacentral:lncRNA from 1 species
GCAAUUCAUUUCCUUUCCUCUGCUACAAUGGCCGGCUAGACUGCAGCAAAGGAACAACCAAAGUCACCAUUUCUUUUCUUCUAAAACUCAACCAAAUUCCUACCAAAACUUCCAUAGAUUCUCACCAAACUUCACAUUCGUUUAGCUUUUCACUCGAACAACAACUUAGGCUGGAAAAGGGAGGAGUUUCACGGCUGUCUUCAGGCUUCAUAGGGACCGAAAUUUUCUGAUCUGAACAGCCAUCAAAGUAGGUAGCCAUCUAACUCCUCAAACUUGUUUUAUGAAGUUUGAUUUAUGCAUUUGAGCUAGAAUCGUCACUCUAGUAGCUGGUAUUGUUGGAAAAAGUGGGCUCUAUGAAUUCCCACUCUUGGGUUGUUGCUGAUUCUGUGCGUGAUGAAGUUUAUGAUAUCAGAUUAGUGUUUAAGUUAUGGAUUUGUUGAAGGAAACUGCUAGAAAACUCACGCAGAGAGCAAAGGCCAAAUUUGACCAUUUUGCCCUGCUCUGUUCGGUCACUUUACUGCAGAUAAUUGAGGAUUUAAAGGCUUGAUUAUAUUUUUUUACAUGCUGUAGAAGUUGUGUACAAAAUUUCGUUGAAAAAUAUUGAGUUUUGGUUGCUCAAACGAAUUUAUUUCAAAAACUAGUAAACUGGAAAACGGUUUCGCCGUAAUCCAGACCAGUGGUUGUAUUUCGUCCAUAACUCCGUACUCCGACGUCAAAAUCAAGUGUCGUUAGCGGCAUUUGAAACUAGACGUUUCCAUGUUUUUAUCGGUGUAUAAUGCACGUCCUGGUUUUAUGUGUGUGAGCCACACCAUUCAUCUGAAGUCGGCUGUCCUGUUUCUCCGUUCUGCCGAAAUGAUUUGAUGAUGCUGCAACUUGAGCCUUGAUUUUGAACCAGUUGCAUGCUGAAACUUGAAAUGAUUUCUUCUGUGAAGUUGUAGCCCUAUGAAUUUAUUUUCUAACACUAUCAACCAUUCCCAAUUCUGAGUUAAAUUGAGAGAGUUAUGAUCAAAAUACGGCGACUGCUCGUUUUGAAAAUCUUAGAUUUGGACAGAUUGCCUUAAGGAUUUUUCCAAACUUUGGUUGAUUGAAUGACCCCCCUCCCGAGGGUAUUUUUCCGUGAAAUUUGAUAGAGAGAUAACCUUCAUAUGGAAGUAUUAUACUGCAAAAUUUGGGGUCAAUCCAAGUCCGUUUCGGCACUUAACUAAAGGUCGAAAGUUGGAACCAAAUCUGGAAAUUUUGUAACAGUCUUGAAUUUUUCCCAACUUUGAGCUACCAUAUCUUGGUGCUCGAAACUCCGAUUCUCGAUCCGUUUAUUCUGACCUAAACCUUACUUGCACCUCUAAUUGAGCUAUAAAUUUCAAGGGCUGGUUUGCAACGAGUGAAUUCUGCCGAAUUUUCAAAGUUAGCGAAAAACCAACCCCGGCUCAAUCCUGGGUGAUUUGGAACAGCAACUUUAGGCUCAUUUUUGAGCACUUUCCACUUCGAUUCAUGGAAAAGUGUAUUCUAGGAACUUGCAGUACUUUCUAAGAGGUUUUCAACGGUAUAAAGUUUUCCAAUUCUCGACUUAUAACGAGUGAGUUACGAUUUUUCAAAGAUUCAUAACAAAACUGAAAAUUUUCCAACUUUCAAGGAAAUAGAGUUUUUCAAGAACUCUUUAUUCUUUUGAUAUUAUCUAAACGUUUUAUCCCCGAUUUCUUAGAUAAAGACUUAAAUAUUGUUGAAUGUUAUCAAACCUCUCUCGAACCUCGAUUUACGAGUAAUUGAGGUUCAUUUUCACGGAAUUUCCUAUAGUAAUACUAGUGAACGAAUUAUUCCUCGAUAUUUGGGAUAUGGGUGAUAAUUCACUAUUAUUUGCUCAGGCACGCACGAGGACCUCCAAGAGGACCCUACUGUGGAAGUUUGAACUCUUCCUCCAAUUUACUUGCUUGCAUAACUUGGUGAGUGUCAAGUGUAUGCCUACUUGAACCCUAAAGUCUUGAUUCAUGCUUGAUUCACCUGAUUUCAUGCUUAGCUUAACUGAUUUUGACAAAAUGGAGUCGAGUGUGUACUUGAUCGCACUCGUUCUCAUUUGAAACGAAUGACUCAUGCUUAACAUGAUUUGCUUGGUUUACAUGACUUGAAAUGUCUGCUUAAACCUAUCAAAUGCUUGAAUACAUGAAAUGGUAUGCUAUGAUUGCAUACGUCGAUGGAGUGAAUCUCCUCGACAUUUACGUGACAAAUGGGGGACGCCCAAACUCAUAGGCCGAUCUUGGAACUCGAGCUGGCAUGGGCUUGGUCGGGAACCUCGGUGAGCCAUGAGACUCAAAUGAUAAGCUUGAUCUAUUGAGAGAUCUCGCUUGGCAUACUCGUAUAGUAUCGCCUUAUAAAUGUAGUGCGGGCCCGAAGUGGUGUAUGGUGGACGGAUGGGAAGUAAGUGGUGAACUACGGAUAUGAAAAUAUCAAUCCGGUUGACGGAGAGUCAUCACGGAAAGAUAUAUAAAUGAUAUCGGCAAAUGUGGAACUUAGCUCUUGAGAGCUUCUAUAUCCUUGAAUUGUUUCUGGUUACAGUUUAUUGGUGUUAUUAAUUACUUGCAAGCUAAUACCUGAAUUGUUAUUUGGGCUUGUUAUCUGAACUAUGUGUUUGCAUGUGUGUUCUUGGCCUCACGAGCGUUUUGCUCACCCUGUAGAUUUGUUUUCCUUAACAGGUUGAGUUCGGAGGUAAAAUGGAGCAGUCCUCUUGAUGUGUUUUUGUUUUAGGGUUGCUAUUACUUUUGUUUAUGCCUUUGGCUUUGGAUUGUACUUUUGGUAUGGAAAUGUAACCUUUGGACGAAAUGUAUUAUGUAUGCUGACGGGUGGUUUGAAGAAUGGAUAACUAUUAUUAAGUUUGAACACUUCCGCAAUUAUUGUAUCUAAGUUAUCGAUUUGUAUUGUGUGGUCCGGAUAUAAGUUGAAUGGAAUUCCUUGAGUCCUGGCGAGUGCUAGGCAGGCGUCCCCCGGAUACCCUUUGGUUCGCCUUAGGGAGAAGUGGGGGCGUUACAAGUUUCCAAUAAAUCCAGAUGAAAUUUUCAGUGAAAUUCAUCGGAGAAGAAGAAUUAUGGUCAAAGGUCUGUCUAAAUUGAAAAAUCUAAUUUAAAAGGACAGAUAUGCCCAUUAUCGGUUGUACAGAAUAUGUAAAAUAUGGUGCCGCCGCCUCAAAAGUCCUACAUUGGAGACUUCAAAAUAGUUGGAGGACUAAAUUGGCUAAAACAAAUCAUAAAGGACGAAAUUGAAUUUAGUGUAAAAUUUAGGGAUGAAAAUGGCGAAAUUCCCUUUUUUAAAAGAUAAAAUCUUUAAUGUGCAAAAAAUUACGUAAUGCCAUUCUUUACACUGUGAACCAUAGAAGAACAAUAAACCCUUUUAAGGAAAAGGAAGAAGAAGGAGAAUAAGUCCUAAUUAUUUGAAUUGAAUAUCUGAGUAAUAUGUGAUAGCAUUUUAAAGUUUCAAAUAGGUAUCUUUACUUUCAAGUUUGAUUCUUUUUAGCAAAAUCCAAAGCUUAUAUACUAUGGACAGGUUCUACAUUUUGUCAAGGUUCAAAUGUUAUAGAGUCAAGUUCAAAUGUUGAAAAUUAACUCAUGAAUAUUUUGGAUUUCAGAUGGGAUCGAUUGGAAGAAGAGUGGUUGGUGAAAGUUUGGUGCCUCAAGUCAGUUUGUUCUGUCUUUUAUAGAUGGUAUAUCUUGAUUCAGAUUUGUAUGAUUGUAUUUGAUAUAUCUAUUUCAUUUGUAGAAGUAUUUCACUUGAUGAUGGA